UGGGGAAUUUUGGACAAUGGGCGAAAGCCUGAUCCAGCAAUGCCGCGUGUGUGAAGAAGGCCUUCGGGUUGUAAAGCACUUUUGUCCGGAAAGAAAUCCUUGGCUCUAAUACAGUCGGGGGAUGACGGUACCGGAAGAAUAAGCACCGGCUAACUACGUGCCAGCAGCCGCGGUAAUACGUAGGGUGCAAGCGUUAAUCGGAAUUACUGGGCGUAAAGCGUGCGCAGGCGGUUUGCUAAGACCGAUGUGAAAUCCCCGGGCUCAACCUGGGAACUGCAUUGGUGACUGGCAGGCUAGAGUAUGGCAGAGGGGGGUAGAAUUCCACGUGUAGCAGUGAAAUGCGUAGAGAUGUGGAGGAAUACCGAUGGCGAAGGCAGCCCCCUGGGCCAAUACUGACGCUCAUGCACGAAAGCGUGGGGAGCAAACAGGAUUAGAUACCCUGGUAGUCCACGCCCUAAACGAUGUCAANUCAGUUGUUGGGGAUUCAUUUCCUUAGUAACGUAGCUAACGCGUGAAGUUGACCGCCUGGGGAGUACGGUCGCAAGAUUAAAACUCAAA
rnacentral:rRNA from 1 species